GAGUUUGAUUAUGGCUCAGGAUGAACGCUGGCGGCGUGCCUAACACAUGCAAGUCGAACGGAGAACUUAAGUGGAGGUUUUCGGAUGGAAACUUUUGUUCUUAGUGGCGGACGGGUGAGUAACGCGUGGGCAACCUGCCUCAUACAGGGGGACAACAGACGGAAACGUCUGCUAAGACCGCAUACGUCUUUUUGGUCGCAUGACUGAGAAGGGAAAAGAGCAAUCUGGUAUGAGAUGGGCCCGCGUCUGAUUAGCUGGUUGGUAAGGUAACGGCUUACCAAGGCAACGAUCAGUAGCCGGACUGAGAGGUCGGACGGCCACAUUGGGACUGAGACACGGCCCAAACUCCUACGGGAGGCAGCAGUGGGGGAUAUUGCACAAUGGAGGAAACUCUGAUGCAGCGACGCCGCGUGAGUGAAGAAGUAUUUCGGUAUGUAAAGCUCUAUCAGCAGGGAAGAUGAUGA
rnacentral:rRNA from 1 species